CGAAGAACCUUACCAGGUCUUGACAUCCCGAUGCUAUUUCUAGAGAUAGAAAGUUACUUCGGUACAUCGGUGACAGGUGGUGCAUGGUGUCGUCAGCUCGUGUCGUGAGAUGUUGGGUUAAGUCCCGCAACGAGCGCAACCCCUAUUGUUAGUUGCCAUCAUUCAGUUGGGCACUCUAGCGAGACUGCCGGUAAUAAACCGGAGGAAGGUGGGGAUGACGUCAAAUCAUCAUGCCCCUUAUGACCUGGGCUACACACGUGCUACAAUGGUUGGUACAACGAGUUGCGAGUCGGUGACGGCGAGCUAAUCUCUUAAAGCCAAUCUCAGUUCGGAUUGUAGGCUGCAACUCGCCUACAUGAAGUCGGAAUCGCUAGUAAUCGCGGAUCAGCACGCCGCGGUGAAUACGUUCCCGGGCCUU
rnacentral:rRNA from 1 species